UAAAAUCUAAAUUCACCAUAAUUUGCACCAUUUUUUCGGCUCACCGUUAAGGGGCAGUGCCGGUUCCCCUCUGGUCAUCCUGGGUUGCGUACGGGCCAUCUGUCUUUCACGACCAGGCUUCAUCUACACAGAGACGUGAGGGAAGUUUUGUAAUCCUAGUUUUUCAUUACCUUUUCCUGUUAUUCUUAGCCCGUCGUGUUCUAAAUAGCUUUCUCUGGUGAUCAGAGUAAAGAGAUUCCUCUGUCAUUCCGAGCACGUAAACACUGAAACAUUAGGGAAAGGGUGAGGUUUGUUUCCGAGUGUAUUUGCAUUCAGCUGGACUCUGUUUUCCUGCACCCAUAGGCCUGAUCCUAUCCUGUGGAGCCACCCAGAAAAGUUCUACACCUUCUGCUUCUCCAGAUACUUGCAGGUGGGCUUGUGAGCUCCCCCAAACCUUACUUUCUCCAGUACAAACUUCCUCAGCUUUUCUAGUGAGUGUUUGUAACAUAGUUGAGAGUCUCCUCACCAUUUUAGUCAUCCUUCUUUGAAUACAUUCCUGUUUAUUAAAACCUGGUGCCCAGAGAGGGAUAUCAUAUAUCAGGGUGGCUUCCUAGCCCACAGUAUUGCGGGAUUACCCGUUCCUUUUUUGCUCAGAAUUGUUCUUCUAUUAAUGCAUUUUAGGGUCACAUUAUUACUAUGAUUACUUUAUAGGCUACUACUCACUUAUUAAUAAGAUAUUUUUCAGAAAUUCCCAUACUCCAUACCAAAGGCACUUCCUUGGCAAAGUAUUUCUCUCUGUCUUGGUUUCGUCAUCUCCAAAUGGCAAUAAUUAUACUAUGAGCUCACAGGACUGUUGUGAUGAAUGAAUGAGAUACUCUGGUCAAGCUCAGCCUAAUAAAUAAUAAAGUCACUGUGACCGUCUCUACUUUCUGACUGUGAGUACUGCCACCAGUCCACCCCCACCUCUGCUUGUAGAAAUAAAAGGAGCAGAUUUAUGCGAGGGGAUGGGUCCACCUGGAGUGACUUGAGAAGAGCCCGUCCACCUCCUCCUGUUUAGAAGAUGCCUUUUGCUAUCCUGCUUUGAUGCCUGGAAUUUCAUCCUUCACCCAUUGCUGGGCCCACCCACAUACUCUAAAGCCAAGAUCAGGACAGAGAGGGAGGGAGCUGUCCCCUGGCCACCCUGAUACCUGUUGUCGGAAAUCAACGAACAAACACAAACCCACUUUGCGUUCCGUGAGUGUGCAUGGAUGUUGGUCCCUAGGCGCUGCAGGACAAGAGGAGGGCCAUUUCGAAGGCUCUGCCCGUGCGUGGGGAGCAUGCUGGAUCUUCCUUCCAGCUACAGAAGAGGUCAGCCCCCUGCCCCCGCUGGCCUGCUUGCUCGAACCUCUGAGAGACGCUGGGCAACAUGCUAUCCCUCCUAAUUGUCUGCCUCGGCAGACCAAGCCUUCCAGAUCAUCAGUCACCACGUGGCCCUUGUUCUGGGCAGCUCUGCACAUCAGCUCCUCCUUUACCCCUCCUCAGCCUCCAGACCCUUCCACUGCACUCUCCGGAACUCUUGUCUCCUAGAGCCUCCCCUCCUCUGAAGGGGCCUUCACCGUCUUUCACUGAAGCCUGCCUGUCCUCAAGGUCCCUGCUCCCUGCAACCACUCAGGUUGAGGCUGGUUUCUGUUGCCUACAGGCAGGUGUCAGGCAGGGCCAGAUGUGGAGGAGUUACUCAUUCCUCCCCCUCAGUCCUCAGACUCUGGUUUCUUCCCCCAGUGACUUCAGUCCCCAGCUGCUUUCUCCGUCCACUUUUACUCUCACUGGCGCUGACACCCACCUGGAGCACUCUGACGACAUCCUGGCUCCCCAACUUCCUCAGACUCUUGCCCUCAUUUGAUUUCAGCCACCUCUGAGAUCUCAACAUUUGCUUUUAUUUAAAAAAUGUUUUAAGUUUACGUAUGUAAAAUUCUUUUUCUGAUGUACAGGGCUUUGGUUUUUUAGACGUGCAUGGGUUCUCAUAGCCACCACCACAGACAGUACAUGCAACAGUUCCAGUACUCCAGAGAACGCCCUCAUCUCUCCUCACCCCUGCCUUCUGGCAAGCAAUGAGCUGUUCUCUGUUCCUGCAUUUUUGCCUUUUCUAGGAUGCCAUAUAUGUGGAAUUAUGUAGAAUGUGCCCUUUUGGUACUGGCCUCUUUUGUUCAACAGAGUAAUACCUUUGAGAUUCAUCCACGCUGUUGUUAGAAUCAAGCGUGUUAACUUUUAUUGCUGAGUAGUAGUCCAUUGUGUAGAUACAUUACAGUUUUUUAAAAAAAAUCUACCGCUGCUGCAGGACAUUUGGGUGUUUUCAGUUCUUGGUGAGGAGGAACAUUUGUGUGCAGAUGUUGUGUGGACUUAAAAUCUUGACUUCUUUAAAAUACCUAGAAGUGGUCAUUGCUGGGUCCUAUGUAUGUGAGAUCUCAAUUGUAAGUUUCCUCUCCUCUGACAACUGUGCCCCAUCCACAUGGUUCCUUUCUCUAACAUAUCACAUUGACCACUGUGACCUCACUAAGACCUCCAAUUCACCGAGCCUGCCAUUUUUUUCAUUGAUCAUGAACCUAUUCAUUAUUUUCGUUCCUUCUCACACAACUUAGUGAUCCAUCAUAAUAGUCAUUCUACUGGAAACUUUCCUCACUCCCUUCAACAUACCCUCCUGGCUGAACCACAACCUGGUGAACUCAACUACCCACCCAUUCAGCCUCCAUUAGAGUAGAACAGUGUGGCUAGAAGAAAACGCAGCUGUGCCGCAGGCGACUUCAUGACCGUAAAUCUCACCUGAGCUUCUGAUACUGAUCAUCGAUCGGUCUGACUUUCUAGGGACUAUUUCAUACUUGUAUCUCUUCAAACCUCUGACAGCCUCAUAUAUCACUGAGGAACUAGCGAUCAGACUAGAGAUUGCUCAUUAUCCUCCCACCAUCAAUUCCACCUGACGGACUAAGGCUUUACUCCCUUCUCUGCCUUCCCCCUUUUAAAACGAUGAGCUGUCCAUGCUUCUGUCUGAAGCCAGCCCCUCGAUGGUGCAGUGGAUUCCAUCUGUGCCCAUCCUACCUUUUCCAUUUUCCUUCUGCAAUUAUCCCCUCUCCUGUCUUCAUCAACUUCUCUUUCUGCCAUCACCAUAUAUACAUUUCCUAAUGUAGCGCAUCUUCAAAAAUAAUGUCCCUCCUGGCCUCCUAAAACCAGUAACUUUACAGUGGAGAAACCUGACAAACACCUCAGCCAGGUGAUCAACGCGACGAGUCGUGAUGGCGGAACGUACCCUUGCUGUGAUGUGAGGAGAUGAUAAUGGCACUGUACCUCUGUGGUCUUCCUUUCCAAAACCCACAACCUCUGUCCAACCAGAAAAACACCAGACAAAUCCAAAUGGAAGGAUGUUCUACAAGAUACUUAACUAGCACUCCUCAAAAUUGUCAAGGCCAUCAAAAGCAGGGAAAACCUAAGAGAAGCCUAAGGAGACAUGACAAGUAAAUGUAAUGUGGUAUUCUGAAUAGGACCCUAGAAAAGAAAAAGAAAGAUAUUAAGUAAAACUAAAAACUGGAAUAAAGUACGGGCUUUAGAUCAUAA